CUACUCUUCCACAUUCACCUACUCUCUCCCACACCAGCCUUAUUUCAUUCACACCAAAAGAAAUCCUCAUAGUACAAUAGGUUGUCAAGACUCAGCUAUUUCCAGCUUUCCAAAUCAAUUUCCACGUCUGCAGCAAGUUUCGCCCCAACAAAUUACAAGAGACAAGCAACAUUCACCACCAAUCCAAGGUCCGAGCGACAGAAAGUGAAGUCAAAGAAGAAACGACUCCACGCCAGCUUUAAGAACGUUUAAGGUUGAGCAGGCGAUGGAAUGGAUCGGUGUUGAGCGGAUUUCCCUUUUGAUGUUUAUGUAAUGAAACCUUGAGUAUGCAUCUCCAUAUGCAUAACUCACACGUUUUUCCGCUGCAAACACUCUGACUUAUUUAUCAUUUCUACUUGAACUUAUUACUACUUCAUUUUAAUUAACUUUCAGUUGGGGUCUAGUCGUUAUGGCAGACUCGUUUGUGAAUUACCCAAGUGGUUAUAUAUAUAUACCACUAGUUUGUUAUUAAUGUU